CGCGCCUCAAUGAGGCGAAUCGAGCACCAGCUUUUAUAAGGAUAUAAAGGUCGGUUGGGAGCCGAUUUAACAGCCGAUAGGUUAUAUGCCAUCCUGGUCGUUUUUUUUUUACACUUAGUUGAGGUUAAAGCAAGAUAAAUGUAGUUCACAUAGGCAAUAUCGCUCACUUAAAUACGGCAGACCAGUAACAUCUUUAGAGAUUUAGAGAUGGCGGGACAUAAUAUGUGGACUAUUUAUUGCACACCUUAUAAAGGUUGGUCGACAACCGAGGGGUUAAGCUCGAGGCAAAUUUCGAGAGGCAGCAUUUUCGAAAUGAGCCUCUCUUGUUGCCAUCGUAGUAUCCACUCGUUUAUUAUUUAUUCGUAGUAGAGUUUCAAAACAAGGUAGAAAAGAUAAAUCUUCUUCUUGUAGUGCCUUUCCACCAUCGGAACUCUCUUUGCAGCGCUCUCUAUUCUUUACUAGUUUAAAUAUUUCUUCCACGGUUUUUACACCGGUCCACUCUUUUAUAUUUAGCCAAUUUCCUCCUUCCAGGCCUUCUCUUUCCUUCUACUUUGCCCAUUUAUAAAUUAAAUCCAUUUUUCUACUUCUAACUCUCUGUAACAAAUGGCAAAGAUAAAUAAACACACGAUUUAGACGUUUGCUUUUGACGUUAACAGUUUUUUUGUAGACAAAUGUCACAGAGUACUUUGUUAAUUGGCAAAUGCAUUAUGUGCAUAACUCCCAAAAAAUUUCUAAUGGUAAGGUCAAAUGAAGGUUAUUAGUUUUUAUUGAAUAAU